rnacentral:snRNA from 1 species
GGAUAUGAAGGCAAUCUGUCUUUGACAUCUUUUAUCCCAUUGAUAGCCAGGGUUGAUUCAACUGAUCUGGUUGGCUAGGUGGGUGUUGCCUUCCUCCCUCACUGUUCCUUGUGCGUCCUUCUUCAAGCUGUGGGCUCUGGUUGGUUGAAGGUCGGUUGGUUGAAAGGUCGGUUGGUAGAAAGACUGAAUUUCCCCUAAUAGAGACUGACUGUUCUUUGGUCUGGAGGGUGUAUGAGUAGCUGUGCUCCUCUGCUAGAAUCUGCAAACAAACUCUCAGAAUUUUACUGGGAAAUCUGUAAUAGUCCUAUUUCUCUGAAUUAAAUAUAUUAAAAUCAGGUGUUAUGACUAUCCAAAUUU